UACGAUGUGUAUCUGCUAACCUGCAUCCUCUUUUUCAAGAAGUUCAAUUACAGAAUUCAUUGUGUUAGGAAGAGCAACAAAAUUAGGCAAUUGUUGAGGCAAAAAUAAUGGGCUUCUAUAUCUUUCAAUACCUUCAUGCCAACCAGAUUCUCCAUAUGAAAAGAUUAAAGGAUAUUCCAAAAGAUCAUAACAACCAUAGUGAUAGUGAACUUUGUGCGAUUCACCAGAAUGACCAUAUAUAGUAAUAUCACGAAUACGAAUGUUCAUCAUCUUCAACCCAUACAGUAGCUACUUGAGAUACUGUAAGAGUAUUGAAAACUCUUUGAUCAACUCUUGGAUCACAUCUUAUUUGUAUUCGAUGAU
rnacentral:lncRNA from 1 species